UGAGGAGGGACAGAGCCACAUUGGAGA
rnacentral:piRNA from 1 species